rnacentral:rRNA from 1 species
UGGGGAAUAUUGCACAAUGGGGGAAACCCUGAUGCAGCGACGCCGCGUGAACGAAGAAGGUAUUCGUAUCGUAAAGUUCUGUCCUAUGGGAAGAUAAUGACAGUACCAUAGAAGAAAGCUCCGGCUAAAUACGUGCCAGCAGCCGCGGUCAUACGUAUGGAGCGAGCGUUGUCCGGAAUUAUUGGGCGUAAAGGGUACGCAGGCGGUUUAAUAAGUCGAAUGUUAAAGAUCGGGGCUCAACCCCGCAAAGCAUUGGAAACUGAUAAACUUGACUAGUGGAGAGGAAAGUGGAAUUCCUAGUGUAGUGGUGAAAUACGUAGAUAUUAGGAGGAAUACCAGUAGCGAAGGCGACUUUCUGGACACAAACUGACGCUGAGGUACGAAAGCGUGGGGAGCAAACAGG